rnacentral:misc_RNA from 1 species
GAUGAAGAACGCAGCGAAAUGCGAUAAGUAAUGUGAAUUGCAGAAUUCAGUGAAUCAUCGAAUCUUUGAACGCACCUUGCGCUCCUUGGCAUUCCGAGGAGCAUGCCUGUUUGAGUGUCAUUAAAUUCUCAAGACCUGUCUGCUUUUUUGAUAGGUAUUGGAUUUUGGGGGUUGCAGGCUGUUUCAAAUAAAUAGCCUUGCUCUCCUUGAAUGUAUUAGUGGAGAAAAGCCAUUGAACUCCAUUGGUGUGAUAAAACCUAUCAAUGCCAGGAGCAAUAUCACUACUUCUCUCUGCUGUCUAACUGUGACUGUCUGUAUUAAUUAGUAUGGAUGGGGACAACUUGACCAACUUGACCUCAAAUCAGGUAGGACUACCCGCUGAACUUAAGCAUAUCAUAAGCGGAGGA